GGGAAUUUUCCGCAAUGGGCGAAAGCCUGACGGAGCGACGCUGCGUGAAGGAUGACGGCCUGCGGGUUGUAAACUUCUUUUCUCGAAGAAGAAUCAAUGACGGUAUUCGAGGAAUAAGCAUCGGCUAACUCUGUGCCAGCAGCCGCGGUAAGACAGAGGAUGCAAGUGUUAUUCGGAUUGAUUGGGCGUAAAGCGUCUGUAGGCGGUUUGGAAAGUCUUUUGUGAAAUUCUUCGGCUCAACCGGGGGUCCGCAAAAGAAACUUCCAUGCUUGAGGGAAGUAGAGGUACAGGGAAUUUCCGGUGGAGCGGUGAAAUGCGUAGAUAUCGGAAGGAACACCAAUAUGGCGAAGGCACUGUACUGGGCUUUACCUGACGCUAAGAGACGAAAGCUAAAGGAGUGAUUAGGAUUAGAUACCCUAGUAAUUUUAGCCGUAAACGAUGGAAACUCACUGCCGAGCCGGUAUUCGGAGCGGUGGUCAAGCUAACGCGUGAAGUUUCCCGCCUGGGGAUUACGCAUGCAAAUGUGAAACUCAAAGGAAUUGACGGA
rnacentral:rRNA from 1 species